GUUUCAGGAUGAAGAAACUGUCUCUGCUGUCUCAGAGUGGGAUGAUGCUCUUGGGAGGCCUAUGGAUGUACAAACAUGACAGGAGAUGUACAGCCCAAUGAGGGACCAUCAACAUCCAGAGCUCAGCUUGGAACACUGCCUGUAAAGGAUUUAUACAAGAUACACC